rnacentral:rRNA from 1 species
GAUGAACGCUGGCGGCGUGCUUAACACAUGCAAGUCGAACGAUGAAGCCCAGCUUGCUGGGUGGAUUAGUGGCGAACGGGUGAGUAACACGUGAGUAACCUGCCCUUAACUCUGGGAUAAGCCUGGGAAACUGGGUCUAAUACCGGAUAGGAGCGUCCACCGCAUGGUGGGUGUUGGAAAGAUUUAUCGGUUUUGGAUGGACUCGCGGCCUAUCAGCUUGUUGGCGAGGUAACGGCUCACCAAGGCGACGACGGGUAGCCGGCCUGAGAGGGUGACCGGCCACACUGGGACUGAGACACGGCCCAGACUCCUACGGGAGGCAGCAGUGGGGAAUAUUGCACAAUGGGCGAAAGCCUGAUGCAGCGACGCCGCGUGAGGGAUGACGGCCUUCGGGUUGUAAACCUCUUUCAGUAGGGAAGAAGCGAAAGUGACGGUACCUGCAGAAGAAGCACCGGCUAACUACGUGCCAGCAGCCGCAGUAA